rnacentral:tRNA from 2 species
AAGGCUUUACGUUAAUUAAAGUGUUUGAGUUGCAUUCAAUUGAUGUUGGAUAAAAUCCUGCAAGCCUUA